CCAAUAGCGUAUAUUAAAGUUGCUGCAGUUAAAAAGCUCGUAGUUGAAUUUCGGAACCAAUAUGUUGGUUGUGCCUCGGUACGUACUGGCAUUGUUGGUUUCUCCCUUCUGACGAACUAUGAUGUCAUUAAUUUGGUGUCAUGGGGAAUCAGGACUGUUACUUUGAAAAAAUUAGAGUGUUUAAAGCAGGCUCACGCUUGAAUACAUUAGCAUGGAAUAAUGAAAUAGGACGUUUGAUUCUAUUUUGUUGGUUUCUAGGAUUGACGUAAUGAUUAAUAGGGGUAGUUGGGGGGAUUAGUAUUCAAUUGUCAGAGGUGAAAUUCUUGGAUUUAUUGAAGACUAACUACUGCGAAAGCAUUUGCCAAGGAUGUUUUCAUUAAUCAAGAACGAAAGUUAGGGGAUCGAAGACGAUCAGAUACCGUCGUAGUCUUAACCAUAAACUAUGCCGACUAGGGAUCGGAUGAUGUUAAUUUUUUAAUGACUCAUUCGGCGCCUUACG
rnacentral:rRNA from 1 species